rnacentral:lncRNA from 1 species
AGGCAUACAGAUGCAAAGAGCAAUGUUUGUUCUUACACUCUACUCUAUUCCUCUCUCCAUCGUUUGGGCCAACACAGAGCAUUUCCUUGUCUUCUUCGGCCUAGACAAAUCCAUUGCAUACCUCUCUGGCUCCUAUGCAAAGUUCAUGAUCCCUAGCAUCUUCGCCUAUGGUCUUCUUCAAUGUAUCAACAGGUUUUUGCAGGCGCAGAACAAUGUGUUUCCUGUGGUUUUAUGUUCUGGAGUCACUACUUGUCUUCAUGUGAUCCUCUGUUGGGUCUUGGUGUUGAAAUCUGGUUUAGGGUUUAGAGGAGCUGCUGUGGCCAAUUCGAUCUCGUAUUGGCUUAAUGUCAUUCUCUUGGCAUGUUAUGUCAAGUUUUCGCCUUCUUGCUCACUGACCUGGACUGGUUUCUCUAAGGAGGCUCUACGCGAUAUCAUACCUUUUAUGAAGCUAGCUAUUCCCUCUGCACUUAUGGUUUGGUAAGUCUAAAAGAAAAUGCUUACGCUAAUUAUUUAUUGGAGGUGACGUGAGAAACAAGGUUUGUAUAAAAUAGAUUCAUUGAGACGAAAGGAUUAAUAUGCUAUUCCAACGUAGAGAUAAAAUUAGGCUAAACCUAGUGAGAUUUGAUAUCAAAAAAUUCCUUCUCUUAAUAUGAAUUUCUCAACUCACUCAAAUUCAUGGUGAAAUCAAAUCCAUUGAAUAAUAUAUGAUUUAAGUUAGGAUUUAUAAAUCAUUAAACUAAGAACACAUGAUUUUAAAAUAAAACGAGUAAUAGAUUUACAAAUCCAAGAAAAUACACAAAACAAUAACUCCUGCUUAAUUAGUAUCCAUUUUAUUUUGUCAAAAAUUAGUAUCCAUUAAAAGCAUAUUUAUUUGAGGUUAUGUUGUUUGAGCAGCUUAGAGAUGUGGUCCUUUGAACUUUUGGUUCUCUCGUCAGGACUUCUUCCGAACCCAGUUUUAGAAACUUCUGUCCUAUCAAUAUGGUAAGUAUCAAAUUUUGUUUUAAACUGUUCUCUUCCUCAUAUAUCAUUCAGAAAAAAACCUUUAGUUAUUCAUGGUUAUGAUCACUGAACUAGUAAUAAUCUUUUUUGCAGCCUUAAUACAUCAGGAACAAUCUGGAUGAUCCCAUUUGGCCUCGGUGGUGCUGCAAGGUCGGUACACCAGUAACCAAGGAUGGAAGGACCCGUCUGUUACUUUAUAUAUGGAUGUUGCAUAGAGAUUCAGCAUAACCUUAACUUUAUUAUCAUAACAUUAUUAUCAUUGAAUUGUCCUCUGAAAUCCGCAGCACAAGGGUGUCAAAUGAGUUAGGAGCGGGGAACGCAAAAGUGGCUAAGCGUUCGGUUCGUGUGGUCUUGAGCAUUGCAAUCUUAGAAAGUACACUAGUUGGUUCGGUUAUGAUACUGAUAAGGAAGAUAUGGGGAUUUGCAUACAGUAGUGACCCGAAAGUAGUCACAUAUGUAGCCUCGAUGAUGCCGAUUCUCGCCAUAGGCCACUUACUAGACAGCGUCCAAAGUGUUUUUUCAGGUUAUAUUCUCCACUCAAAAACUUUUUGUACGUUGAAGUUUUUUUUGUUUGCAAGUAAAAGGCAAACACCAGCCUACAACUACAAGCAUCAUUCCUGUUUUGGAAUUUGGUUUAGACCGGUUAAUAUCAUAUUUGUCAUGCUGAUUUUUUUGGUUUAUUGUAAAAGGGGUUGCUAGAGGAUGUGGAUGGCAGAAGAUAGGAGCUUUUGUCAAUCUUGGAUCAUAUUAUUUUGUGGGAGUCCCGUUAGGCUUGUUACUUGGUUUUCACUUUCACCUCGGUGGUCGGGUAAAUUCCAUAAACGAAUUAAAAUUCUCUCUUCUUUUUGAUCAAACAAUUUCAAGGGUUAACCAUAUAUCAUAAAAAUGUAAAUAUAAAAAGGGGCUUUGGCUGGGAAUCAUAUGUGCACUCGUCAUCCAAGGUGUAUCUCUUUCCGUCAUCACCUUUUUCACAAAUUGGGAAGAAGAGGUAUAAAAAGCUGUAUUAUUAUUAUUUUCAUUCUAUGCCUUUGGAAUGUGACUUGUGACAGUUAUUGCUCACGUUUUUAGUGAUUCUUGGUUUAUGUAACCCAUAGGUCAAGAAAGCUACAAGCAGAGCUGAAGGUGCCAAGGAUCAUGCAGCCGAGAAUGAGUCAAUUAUUGUAUUCUGAGAGCUAAAUGGAAUAUGCUAUAUGUAACUGAGAAAAAGUUGGGACCAUUAUAUCAUAUUUUGUAACAAAAUAUUAUUUCCUUAAAUAGAACAUACGGAAUUACCUAAUUUGAUCAACAUAUAUAUGAUAAUUAAUGAUUUUAAAUAAUAAAGAUUUGAUAAUAAUUUAUACUUCCUCUAUCAUUUUUGUUUUAUAUUAAUAUCAUAAGAAUAAAUUAGACAAUAAAAUUAACUAAAUAAUAAAAAUUUCGAUUUUUCAAUAUAUGGUAUAUUUUAAAUUUUUGAAAAAGAAUACAAAUUAGUAAUCUUUUAAAAAAAGUGAUCAGUGAUUUAAUUUUUAUAUAUACCAAGAUACACAUGUUCAUAAAAUUAUAUGAGUAAGAUGUCUUAUUUAAUAAAUAUUAGAUUAAAUAUAUAUAUACAUAUAUACAAAUAUCGUUUAAAUUAAAUUAUAUAUUAUAUAAAUGCAAAAAUAUUUAAAUUUCAAACUUUUUAUUGAACAAAUACUAAGAAUUUAAUAUUUUAGUUUCAAAAUUUUCAUUGAAUUUGUAAAAAUGAUUAUAAAUUAAUAAAAAUAAUAAAAGUUUCAUAUUGAAAAUUUUGUUAUCAAUAUUUCAAUUUUUUUUGUUAUCAAAAAUAAAAAUGAUCAUAAAACCAUGUUAAUAGGAAAUUUUUAUUUAAUAAAUAUUCAUAUUAAAAAAAAAUAUACUAUACAUUGAUGUUCAUAUCAUUUAAAUUUAAUGAUAAACAAUAUAAAAUAUAAAAAUAAUUAUUUAAAUUUAUUUACCAUAAAAUGAUCGUAAAUAACAAUAAUUAUUUUGAUCUAUAUGUCCGCACCUAUUUAUUUAUAUAUGUAAAAGUCACUGUUCUCUCACGAAUUUAAUAUAAAUUAAAAAAACACAAAUAAAUAAUAUUACAUAAAAUUUUAUGUAUAUACAAUAUUCAUUCCGCGCAAAGUGCGAAUCUUAAUCUAGUUAAUUAUUAAAUAUCAAUUGACGUCAAGAAAAUAUUAAAUAUUAAAUAUCAAUUAUUUUUUAAAAAAAUUGUUUUACUAUAAAUAGCGUUAAAAAAUGUUAGGCGAGAGUGGACAAUGAUUCAACACCUAGUGUCUAUGAUUAAUAAAGCGUUUAUAUAUAUUUAGACGGUUUAUACUUUGAUAAAUAAUAACAAAAUAUUAAAAAUAUAUAAUAUUUUAUAUUAGGUAUCAUUAUUUACAAAUAAUAAAUUCACAUCAUUUGACUUUUAUAAGAUCAUACAAUAAUAUAUUAACUACUGUGAUUUAUGAAUAAUAAAUAAUAUUAUAAUUGUCUAGAUGGUUUAGAAGAUAAUCACCACGGUACUAUAUGGUCUAGUGUCUAGGUGCCGCUUAAGUAGACGCUUAAAGUAUUUUUUUAGAACACUGCCAUUCUACAUUUCCAGCGCAUAUAUUUAAAUAAAAAAAAGAUUUUUAUUUUUAUUUUUAUUUCUAAUUCACUAAUUAACAAAACCCAACAAAAUAAUAUAUUAAUUAAAGAUAAAUAUAACAAUAUUUAAUAUGUGUAAACAACACAUUAUGAAACAGAUAAAGUAUUUAAGUAAUAAUUAUGUUGAAACGUGAUAGCAAACUUAAGGUUUUUAGAUCAAUUUUUCAAAAUACUUCUAAAUUAAUCUGGCCGCUUAAGUUGGCUAACGUUAUCAAGUUCCAGUCCAAGUCUGUUCACCCGUGAUCUUGAUCUGAUCACCUAAACCAUAUCUAGCUCCAGACCCCAAACCGAUCACGUGUGUUUAUUAACAAAACAAUACUAAUAUAUAUCUGAAAUGAGAACCAAAAUAGUGAUAAAUAAUAUAAAAUCCAGCUAAGAUGUAGUUGUCAAGCCACCUUGUCUGAAUUUUUUUGACCACGACACCAUGUCUGAAUUUACAAGUUGCGUAUGCAUAUUUGAUUCUUUGAUGCGACUAUUCAGUAGCUACAAAAAAAAACAUUAUCAUUUUCAUAUAAUUGAAUUGCUUAAAUUUUACUUUAUUUUUUGCUACCCUACAUCUAACAGUGAAAGUGAAUGACAUCAAUAUUCCAUAUUCAAAUCUGAAUUAAUGAUAGUGACAAUUGCGUUCACGCUUACUUGUAAAGCAAGAAUCAAAUCAUAAGAAAACUAUUCACCUCUGUACAGAUUGGAACGGCAAGUGCUUUGGACACAGUUUGUGGCCAGUCAUAUGGAGGAAAAAUGUACGGAAUGUUAGGCAUACAGAUGCAAAGAGCAAUGUUUGUUCUUACACUCUACUCUAUUCCUCUCUCCAUCGUUUGGGCCAACACAGAGCAUUUCCUUGUCUUCUUCGGCCUAGACAAAUCCAUUGCAUACCUCUCUGGCUCCUAUGCAAAGUUCAUGAUCCCUAGCAUCUUCGCCUAUGGUCUUCUUCAAUGUAUCAACAGGUUUUUGCAGGCGCAGAACAAUGUGUUUCCUGUGGUUUUAUGUUCUGGAGUCA